rnacentral:tRNA from 1 species
CGGCAGGUACUCAAGCAGACAACGAGGACGGGCUGUAAACCCGUUGGCUUAGCCUUCGUGGGUGCAAAUCCUACCCUGCCGA